GCAUGGAGGUCUUCAGACUCCCUGUGAGGGAGAGAUGAAGGUCAGGCUGUGGCUGCAGGCUGCUCUCUGAUCUCCCUCUUUGGAUGUGAACUACUGACCUCUGCCCUGUGUUUGUCAGCAGGCUGGAAUCAUAAACAUCAAUGUAGUACUGUCAUGGUUAAUGUCAGUGCAACUGUGAUAGUGAAUAAAGAUGAAUAACAAGAACAA